UGUCCUGGAUUCGGCUGUCACGCCUGGCCCACAUUAUUCAAAGACUUUUCUUAUGAGAGAUGGGAAAAAUAUUCUUCCAUGUGUAUUUUAUGAAAUUGAUCGUGAACUUCCAAGACUGAUUAGAGGCCGAGUUCACAGGUGUGUUGGGCACUAUGACCCACACAAGAACAUUUUCAAGUGUGUUUCUGUCAGACCAGCAUCUGCUUCUGAACAAAAGACUUUUCAAGCAUUUGUUACAAUUGUAGAUGCCGAGAUGAAAUAUCAUACUAAAGUAAUGAAUGAAAUGUAAAUAGUGACAAAGGGAAUUACAUAAUAUGAACAGAAGCAUUUACUGUUAUUAAUUUACCACUUGCAUGAUUUUAUCACUCUUGUUUUCUGUAUUUCACUUCUUUUUAUACAAAUAAAAAUUUUCUUAUAGAUUUUCAUC
rnacentral:lncRNA from 1 species